CUGCACGUGCAUGAGUGCUUGUGUGCUCGUGUGUGCGGUGCAUUUGCACAUCUGCGUCAGGUCCCAGCACCAGAGCGGCCACGCCCUCAGCCGAUGCACUUGGCGGCCAAACAGGUUCCAGCUGCCCUUUGUUGCACUUAAAACACCAGAGAAGCUGCACUGCUCGCAUGGAUCACUUGAGACUGCAAGAGGGAAAGACUUGGUAUUUGCGCUGACGUCCUUGUGGUGGUUAAUACUAGGACUCUGUGAUUUGCCUCGUGAGAACCUAAUCCGGAGGCUAGGAAUACUUCAUUGCGAUUGUCGCCAGCUCCUCCGCGAAGGGCUCAGGUCACUCUUCCCCGCCUGGCGCCCUCUACCUGCUCCUCACUGGGUCCGGACUCCCUCACACUCAGGUCUUGGUGACUCCAUGGCCCCAGGGAAAUUGAAACUAGAGAAAAGCGACCUCUCCAAGGUUACACUGCUAGUCCCCUGCUAGUCCAGGAUUACAACUUCAAUCACCUGACUUUCAGUCUAUUCCACCUCCAGAGCCUUUCUGUGGGCAAGGAUCCUGGAAGGUCCAAUGACACCCCCACAGGGAACAUGCCUGUGCCAGCCCAGACAGGUCAAAGGGCAGGAUUCCAAGCAGCUGAGAUGAUCUCUAGAGAAACCUGGAACUGCCCUGUGACACAAGUGUGGCAGAAAGAGGCAGGCCCAGGGGUUGCCAGCACCCCACGAUCCCUUGGCAAGUGGGGCACCCCUCAGGGUGGGAAGGGGCCCCUACCUGUUUGGUGAACCUGGCCACUGGUUCCUGAAUCUCUGCUUUCAAGGGCCUUGAGUGGCUUAUGUCCCAGGAACAUGGAGACAUCACAGAGCACUUACAUCCAAAAUCCAUUUUCCUUCAAAAGAGUGCCCUGGUCAGAGUAAGUAAAGGGGAUCCUGUACAGUUUGGUAAAUCAGUGAUUGGUCUAUACUGUAACUGAGCCUUUAGAACUGACCGUGAGCUUCCCGAUGUGAUUCUCACAGGAGAGCGCUACAGAGCUCCUGGAAAAUCCCCUAUCGACCCUGCCAGGAAACAGGGGUUCCACAGAGGUGACCGUGGCGGACAAGUAAAGACAAUUCCAAAGUGUAAACAUAUUUUUUAUAAUUUAGAUAUAAAACAUCAGAAGAACACUGUACUCACCUUAUACUCUGAAAUAAAUUGAACAAAACAGUGAA